rnacentral:rRNA from 1 species
UACGUAGGGUGCGAGCGUUAAUCGGAAUUACUGGGCGUAAAGCGUGCGCAGGCGGUUCGACAAGUCCGAUGUGAAAGCCCCGGGCUCAACCUGGGAAUGGCAUUGGAAACUGGCGAGCUUGAGUGUGGCAGAGGGGGGUGGAAUUCCGCGUGUAGCAGUGAAAUGCGUAGAGAUGCGGAGGAACACCGAUGGCGAAGGCAGCCCCCUGGGCUGACACUGAUGCUCAGGCACGAAAGCGUGGGGAGCAAACAGG